rnacentral:rRNA from 1 species
AGAAGUCGGCGAAGGUGGAAUCAAUAACUGGGGUGAAGUCGUAACAAGGUAGCCGUAUCGGAAGGUGCGGCUGGAUCACCUCCUUUCUAAGGAGA